UACGAAGGGGGCUAGCGUUGUUCGGAAUCACUAGGCGUAAAGCGCACGUAGGCGGACUUUUAAGUCAGGGGUGAAAUCCCAGGGCUCAACCCUGGAACUGCCCUUGAUACUGAAAGUCUCGAGUCCGGGAGAGGUGAGUGGAACUCCGAGUGUAGAGGUGAAAUUCGUAGAUAUUCGGAAGAACACCAGUGGCGAAGGCGGCUCACUGUCCCGGUACUGACGCUGAGGUGCGAAAGCGUGGGGAGCAAACAGG
rnacentral:rRNA from 1 species